ensembl:lncRNA
CAAUGCAAAACUUUAAUAAAACAGGAUUUGUUCCAGUUGUUUACUGGGGAUAUAGGGAGAGAAGGACAGAGAGAGAGAGUUAGCGCUAAAGCUGACAGCUGCCUGGCAGCCUCUCAAACGCAGCUUACCGUUCACCCUGUACUGAGUGGCACACAAUGCAACUAUUCAACCCUCCAAACAUCUAACUAUCCCCACACGCAUAAAGAGACGCCUGACAGUCAAGAGCAGAGCUUCAGCUCACUCUGGCCAAAAUGGAGCUCCAACAUUUCACUCUCUGUUUUGUUUGACGUCCUCAGGCUCAAUAUGGAUGGGUUUGUCACCCUCUGAUCCAUUCUUCACAGAUCACUUCAGGACGAACUGGUAAACCGUUCCACUGAUGGCCACUGGAUGGCGAUCUGGUUCCAUGAAUAGGUUCUGGGAAGAGUGAAUGAAGCACACUAUGGCAAGCCAAAGAAAAGGACACGUGUGUAGAAUUAGAGGUCUUAAGCGAGCGGAUGGGCAGAGAAGAUUAAAGCAGAGCACACACACCAUCUGGGAAACGUCUCACGCCAGUCAGUGGCAUGCUGCUUCAAGCACAAAUGCACAAACGUAAACUGGCAUUGGACCAGUGAAGUAUGAGGACGAAAGAAUCCAGCAAACUAACAGUUCAAGGAAAGAGCUAACACUGUCUACACCAAUCCUGCCCUUCGCGAAAGGGUCCUGCUCCUGACUGGCCGUCAUCAGCCCAACACUGCAUGCCCAGACGCCACACAUGUCCACAGACAUCAGAAAGCAUGGGGUUCAAAACUCUUCAAACCCCAUGUCGGCACUGGAAGCCAUAAUGAGGUCACAUCGUUCUACCCCUUGACCUUACCGGACACCAACUGGACUGACCCGCAGACCAAAGAUUGGUGCCACUGAAGCACUCGGUCCAGGAUUCCUGCCUCAGGCAAUUUGAACAAACAAGGUCAGCCAGUGGAGUCAUCUGUUAUUGUAGUUUGUAAUCAAAGAAAGUCCAAAUGCUCCAUGAAAGAAGACUUAAUGCUAAUCAGGCAAUUUGCAGUCAUCUAUCCAAUUAACUUCACUGUAUACUAUACAAACAUCAGUCAGCAAAUGUGCGUGACAGGAGAAGCAUAAAAAUUGCUGCUCUUUAAAUUGUUGUUCUAUUUAGCAGCGCCUCAUUUCUUUCUGGGUUAGUGUUUUAAAGAGAUAGCAAACCCAUACAACCUUUUUCUUCCAUGGAUCACAAAUAGAUUUUUUUUUUUAGACUUCAGAAUGCACCUUUUUCAGUAUAAUGAAAAUGGAAGAUCAGAGCUCUAAAAAAGUAGGGAUGCACCAAUAUCAAUAUUUUGGGCAACAACAAUAAGCCAAAAAUCACUGGUUAUGGCCAAUAAUAAAAGUCUACUAAACUAAACUAUUUUUAAUAAU